CGGACCGGCGCACGGGUGAGUAACGCGUAUGCAACUUACCUAUCAGGAGGGGAUAACCGGCGAAAGUCGGACUAAUACCGCAUGAAGCAGGGGCCCCGCAUGGGGAUAUUUGCUAAAGAUUCAUCGCUGAUAGAUAGGCAUGCGUUCCAUUAGGCAGUUGGCGGGGUAACGGCCCACCAAACCGACGAUGGAUAGGGGUUCUGAGAGGAAGGUCCCCCACAUUGGUACUGAGACACGGACCAA
rnacentral:rRNA from 1 species